UACGUAGGCAGCAAGCGUUGUUCGGAAUUACUGGGCGUAAAGCGUGCGUAGGCGGUGCCUCAAGUUUGGUGUGAAAUCUCCCGGCUCAACUGGGAGGGUGCGCCGAAAACUGAGGUGCUCGAGUGUGGGAGAGGUAGGCGGAAUUCCUGGUGUAGCGGUGAAAUGCGUAGAUAUCAGGAGGAACACCGGCGGUGUAGACGGCUUACUGGACCAUUACUGACGCUGAGGCACGAAAGUGUGGGGAGCGAACAGG
rnacentral:rRNA from 1 species